rnacentral:rRNA from 1 species
GAUGAACGCUGGCGGCGUGCUUAACACAUGCAAGUCGAACGAAGCACCUCUCCCGAAGAUUGACACAGCUUGCUGUAGAUUGAUUCAUUUGAGGUGACUGAGUGGCGGACGGGUGAGUAACGCGUGGGUAACCUGCCUCAUAGAGGGGGACAACAGUUGGAAACGACUGCUAAUACCGCAUAGUAAGAAGAAUUCGCAUGUUUUCUUCUUGAAAGAUUUAUCGCUAUGAGAUGGACCCGCGUCUGAUUAGCUAGUUGGUAAGGUAACGGCUUACCAAGGCGACGAUCAGUAGCCGGCUUGAGAGAGUGAACGGCCACAUUGGGACUGAGACACGGCCCAAACUCCUACGGGAGGCAGCAGUGGGGAAUAUUGCACAAUGGGGGAAACCCUGAUGCAGCGACGCCGCGUGAGUGAAGAAGUAUUUCGGUAUGUAAAGCUCUAUCAGCAGGGAAGAUAAUGACGGUACCUGACGAAGAAGCCCCGGCUAACUACGU